rnacentral:rRNA from 1 species
CAUGCAAGUCGAGCGGACCCUUCGGGGUUAGUGGCGGACGGGUGAGUAACACGUGGGUAACGUGCCCUUCGGUUCGGAAUAGCUCCUGGAAACUGGUGGUAAUGCCGAAUGUGCCCUUCGGGGGAAAGAUUUAUCGCCUUUAGAGCGGCCCGCGUCUGAUUAGCUUGUUGGUGAGGUAAUGGCUCACCAAGGCUACGAUCAGUAGCUGGUCUGAGAGGAUGAUCAGCCACAUUGGGACUGAGACACGGCCCAAACUCCUACGGGAGGCAGCAGUGGGGAAUCUUGCACAAUGGGCGCAAGCCUGACGCAGCCAUGCCGCGUGAAUGAUGAAGGUCUUAGGAUUGUAAAAUUCUUUCACCGGGGAAGAUAAUGACUGUACCCGGAGAAGAAGCCCCGGCUAACUUCGUGCCAGCAGCCGCGGUAAUACGAAGGGGGCUAGCGUUGCUCGGAAUUACUGGGCGUAAAGGGAGCGUAGGCGGACAUUUAAGUCAGGGGUGAAAUCCCAGGGCUCAACUCUGGAACUGCCUUUGAUACUGUGUGUCUUGAGUGUGAUAGAGGUAUGUGGAACUCCGAGUGUAGAGGUGAAAUUCGUAGAUAUUCGGAAGAACACCAGUGGCGAAGGCGACUUACUGGCAUCAUUACUGACGCUGAGGCUCGAAAGCGUGGGGAGCAAACAGGAUUAGAUACCCUGGUAGUCACGCGUAAACGAUG